rnacentral:rRNA from 1 species
UACGUAGGCGGUUUCAUAAGUCAGAUGUAAAAGCGUGGGGCUCAACCCCCAUAAAGCAUUUGAAACUGUGGAACUUGAGUAGUGGAGAGGAAAGUGGAAUUCCUAGUGUAGCGGUGAAAUGCGUAGAUAUUAGGAGGAAUACCAGUGGCGAAGGCGACUUUCUGGACACAAACUGACGCUGAGGUACGAAAGCAUGGGGAGGCAAAACA